GCAGGUUUGAUCUUCUGCACCUUUCUCGCUGGAAUCAUUUUGAGGAUCUCUUCGGAUGAUAAAGACCGGAUGUACUCCCACGCUUCAGUUUCACGUGAAGGAGAAGCAGAAGACUUAGAAGUUUCUGGUAACACACCACAGGUUAGAGGCGUCUCAAAAGUAGAUUCAAAACCAACGGUCGAGCAGGAGAGUUUCUUGCAUUGUGACAAAUGUUGCCCAAGUUUUGCAAACCACUUUGAGCAAUGGUGACAUUUCAAAAGGUUCAAACGAGAGACAAAAAAUCCGGGAUGUCGUUAGCAUCGUGAGAUUGUCUGAUAUGACAAAGAACUCUCUGAAUCUGGUCUUUGAAGGCACAGGAAACAACUGGACGACUUUCAAAGUCAGACUUAUGAUCAGACAUAACCAAACAUCGGUUAAAAGAAAUACGGAUGAAACCAAAGACCACGUUCAAAAACCAGGCAUGUUCAAGCCACAUCCGGGGUACAUCAUUUUUCUUGUUGACCUGAGAGAGUCAUGCUGUGUGACAGUUUUGUGGCAGAAAACGUGAGACAAUAGCACACAGUGCAUAUAGGUAACCUAUAUGGUAUUUGUCAGCAGACUAUGAUGCUAGAAUAAUGUGCUGUUACUAACUGCAUGCAUACAAAUGGUCACAAUACAAAGCGGGUAUACAUUUAAAGUGCACUGUCAUAGUGUGUAACAGAUGGAGUGCAUGUGUCCAGACUGGUUUUGCCUCGGCUGCUUUCUUGGAUGGCAGUGUGUCCUGUUUCUUGCACGGGUGGGUUGGCUACUUGUAUUGGCUCUCUUGUUUCUUGCUCUGUCUCUUGUAUUGGUUGCUGUGGUGAUUUUUGCCUUGGUUGACAACAAUCUUGACUCUGUCUACACUUCCGUACAAUUACUGU